GGGAUGGUCAGUAAUAAUGAGAAGGCAAAAGAUAUCCAUAUGGAUAUUAGCUGUUUAUUUUGUGAUAAGUUUGGACAUUGGGAGUAUAAUUGCAAGAAUAAUCUUAUAAGUUUGAAACAAGGUGCAAGUAUAGCACCAAAAGGUGUGUAUAUGAUACAAAUCUAUUUUUCAUUGAGUGGCUCAGACUCUGAUACUUGGGUAUUAGAUACUGCCUG
rnacentral:lncRNA from 1 species